AAAGUCUCUGCAUGUUUCUUACAGCCGCCAUGUUUCCCUCUGAACGUCCUCAAUUUCGUCCGGCUUGUCGAAGGUGGAGCGAAAGUGCGCCCUCUAUAGGACAGGAUGAACUGAGAGCCAGAUUUAUACAGAUUUCAGUGUUAAGGUGGCCCAGCAGUGGCAGCUUGGUGGACCUGGGAUUCAAACUCAUGACCCGCCGAUCAGUAGUCCAACGUCUUAACCACUAGGAGACCACAUCCUACAUCCUACAUAAAACAAAGACAGAGCUAAGGACUUAUCUGUUCCUGUCCUGUUUUGUUGCUGCUCCAAACCGGAUGGUGAUGGAUGUGCACAGGACAGAUUCAAGGUGUCAAGGUGUUGCAGAAUGUAGUCCAGCCCAAUGUUGACUGCAUCAUCCACCGAUCUGUUUGCUCGGUAGGCAAACUGUAGGGGAUCCAGCAGCUGUUCUGUUACAGUCUUUAGGUGGGCCAAUACCAGCUGCUCAAAGGUCUUCAUGAUGACAGAUGUCAGAGCGACAGUCCUGUAGUCAUUCAGUGCAGUGAUGGAGGGUUUCUUAGGGACCAGGAUGAUUGUGGAGAGUUUCAAGCAAGAGGGGACCUCACAUAGCAGUGUUCUGCUGUGACCUGUUGAAGAUAUGGGUGAAGACAGAAGACAGUUGGUCAGCACAUGCUUUGAGACAGGAAAGGGGAGACACAGUCUGCACACACUGAUGCAGUCAGUGUUCUUAAACCUGCAGCUUCUUUUGGCUAUUUUGUUCUCUUUUGUCAGUAGGUUCCUGGCCUCCUUAUACAGGGCUUUGUCCUCCCCUCUGGAGGCAUCUUCCUUGGCAUGUCGAGGUUGUUCAGUUUGGCUGUUGACUAACUGACUAUAACUGAUUAUAUAGUAUAUAGCAUAUAGUAUAUAGCAUUUAGUAUAUGCUAUAUACCAGUGUUGUAUAAAGUAGUAGAAAGCAAUACUUGAGUAAAAGUACAAGUAUCCUACUAGAAAAAGACUUUGGUAGAAGUGAAAGUCACCUUUUAGAAUAUUACUCAAGUAAAAGUCUUAA